rnacentral:snRNA from 1 species
AGAUGUGAGUGCGAUCUGGCUGCCACGUCUGACACUCACUGAUCACCAGGGUUGACUGGAUGAUCUGGCUAGUCAGAUAGGUGCCCUCCUCCUCCCCCAGCGCUCCAUGUGUGUCCCUCCCAGAGCUGCACACUCGCUGAAGAGGAUGACCUUCCCCCAUAGAGGACGGCCCUUCGUCAGUCAAGGGUACACGUGUAGCUAUGCUCCCCUACCAGAACUUCCCAACACGCUCUCAAGGUCCAUUUGUAGAAGAAAGUACGGUAAUCAAGCUUCCAGAAGUCCAGACACAUCCAAACGUGGCGCUGCACGUGGCAGCCUGCCUUUCUUA